GACGAACCGUGCGAACGUUAUUCGGAAUCACUGGGCUUAAAGCGUGCGUAGGCGGCUCAGAAAGUUGGGUGUGAAAUCCCUCGGCUCAACCGAGGAAUUGCGCCCAAAACUACUGGGCUUGAGGGAGUUAGAGGUGAGCGGAACUCACGGUGGAGCGGUGAAAUGCGUUGAUAUCGUGAGGAACACCGGAGGCGAAAGCGGCUCACUGGGGCUUAUCUGACGCUGAGGCACGAAAGCUAGGGGAGCAAACGGG
rnacentral:rRNA from 1 species